rnacentral:tRNA from 1 species
GGGGAUUUAGCUCAAUGGUAGAGCGCUUGCCUAGCAAGCACAAGGCCCUGGAUUCAGUCCCCA